UACGGAGGGGGCUAGCGUUGUUCGGAAUUACUGGGCGUAAAGCGCACGUAGGCGGAUUCUUAAGUCAGGGGUGAAAUCCUGGAGCUCAACUCCAGAACUGCCUUUGAUACUGGGAGUCUCGAGUCCGGGAGAGGUGAGUGGAACUGCGAGUGUAGAGGUGAAAUUCGUAGAUAUUCGCAAGAACACCAGUGGCGAAGGCGGCUCACUGGCCCGGUACUGACGCUGAGGUGCGAAAGCGUGGGGAGCAAACAGG
rnacentral:rRNA from 1 species